CCCGUAGGGUCCAAAAUUCCAGCAUUUAGGACUUAGCCAAAUUUUCAGCUUUUUCACCGUUUUCGCUCUGUUUUCGCUCGUUUGACAUCCGAUUCAUUUCAAAUCGAACCGAGACUCUCCAAACAUGUUUUCGAGCGUAUUUUCAUCAUCUUUUCAUCCACGCUAAUGCCGGAUUUAGCUCAUGGUCCAACAUAACCUUUCGGGUUCCGUUUUCGCACCUACGCGCACCGAAACACCCGAUUACUCCAGAACUUCACCGAACUUCACCGGGACCAUUCCAACGGCUUUCUAAGCUAACAUUCAUCGUACCUUCAUGAAUUAGAAGUUCGGUAUAUUACAUUCUCCACCCCUUAAAAAAAAUUUCGUCCGCGAAAUUCAAAACACACCUCAAUUCAGCUACUCGAGUAAUUGAGGGCAUCAAA
rnacentral:lncRNA from 1 species